CUUGGAUCCCAGUAAACUGAUUUCUGACAGAGAUGCCAAAGUAAUUCCGUGGUCUUUCAAUAAAUGGUGCUGAAAUAACAGAUAUCCAUAAUGUGAGGGUUGAACCUCAAACCUUAUUUCAGUCAACUCCAAAAUGAACAGGAACCACACAACUAAACAUACAACCUAACACUAUCCGUCUUUGAAUUCAGGGUUAUGAAGGGUAGCUGCCUAUUUUUAUAAAUAAAGGAUGUUUUAGGAACACAGCCAUGUUGAUGUAUUGUGUAUAAUUGUUUUUAAGGAUUAUUAAUUAUAAUGGUAGUAGAGAUAAAAGACUGUGCAGGUGUUGAUAAUUUUUGAAACUGAGGUGGUAUACACAGAGUUCAAAUACUGUUUGGCCUACUUUGAUGCCUGUUUGAAAUUUCCCAUAAGAAAAACUUGUUUUUGUUUUUUUAGUCUACGUUCCGAUCUACUCUGGGCUAUCUCAAGAUCAUCCCCAUAAGCUCCAUCACUCUCCUUCCCAUUUCUCUCCAGCAAGGCUCAACCAAGCCUAGAGUCCCCUGAAUGUCCUGUGGAAGCCAGCCAUUCAUUCUAACAUGCUAAGCACAAAUGUGACAUCAUGGUAGUAUUCAAUGAAUAUUAGAGAAAUAUAUUAUAAGUAAAAUUAUGGAAGGUUCUGUCUGUAUACACCCUGAAGUUGAAACUGAACUUACUCUUCCCUAACACUUCUAUAAACAUGUUAAUUAGCUCCUACCUCUUCCUUUCAAAGGAAGACUAUGGGGCUAGACUGUAGUUCAGUGGUAGAGUGCUUGCCUAGCAUGCCUGAAGCCCUGGUUCAAUAUGUAACACCACAACAAAUAAAAUAAAAAGGAAGACUGUGACAUUUGAAAACUUUCUCAGCAAUACACCCUGAAACUUUCUUCAAGAAAAAUAAAACUCUUAUCAAGGGAGGCAUUAUUGCCAAAUAUCUGCUCUAUGAACAAGGUGGCUCAUUUCCUUAUCACGUAAUAAUAAAGACAAUUAAAAAAACACAUACCACUUUCCACAGAAAAGACCAGAAUGUGCUCCCAACCUUUAU
rnacentral:lncRNA from 1 species